CUGCCCUGCUCUGGGCGCCACGUUGCUCGGCUUCUCACGCACCCACCCGCCCUCUGGGAGGAGACAGUCCUUGCCCCGCACGGGCCCACGUAGGCCCGCACCUCUGCCGGCCAGUCUUCCCUGCGGGAGCUUUGCACAAGCUUGAGCCGUGCCGAGGCUUUCCCAUUGUUGACGUGGCUUCCCCUCUUGUCCGCUACUUGUAUUUGGAGUCUCGCUCUUUCUUUGUACAAAGGAAGCUUAACAAAUGCCACCAAGAGUUUCGAGGGCCCUGAGCAAGGCUUUGAGCCUGUCUGCAGCUCCCUCCAGCCGAGGGGAGAGAGCACAGAAGUUGGUCAGGGUGUCUGACCAGGGCUGGCGCUCCGUCUUGCUCUGAGCGACAUGAUGCUGGUGGUGUGGUCCUGAGUGGGCUCCCGGCUGCCUUCUGAUUCCUAAUGUGGCCGUGGGCUGUCUCCAGGUCCCUGCACGUCUGUGCUGUUCGGAGCCCGAGUCUGCCUGUCGGGCUUCCUCCGCCCUUUGCUCCCUGUUUUAGCCUGGUGUGGGCGGGGCCCCGGGAAGGGCAGCCAGCUCGUCACUUCCAGGCUCUGGAUCCUCAUUUUGGUGUUUUGGAUUACAGCUUUCUUACUUUCCAUUUGAAAAAUUAUAGCUUAAAAGAAAUGGAUAGGGGCUGGGGCUGGGGCUGAGUGGUAGAGCUCUCACCUAGCAUGUGUGAGGCCCUGGGUUCCAUCUUCAUCACCACGUAAAAAUAAAUAAAUAAAGUAAAGGUAUUGCGUCCAACUACAACUAAAAAAUAAUACAAAAAAAAAAAGAAAUGGAUAAAUUAGAGUUUAUCAAAGUUUGAAACUGCUGCUCUUACAAAAGAUAACUACGAAAGUAUGAAUAGGAAAGUCACAGUGGACGGGUAUUUGUAGCGUGCCCAUCCAAGCAGACGGAAGAGAACACGCACACUUCAGUAGUGAAGAUGCCCAAGGCACAGGUGAGCACAGGUGGGAAUGCCCUACACGAGAAGCUGUGUGUGUAGCAGCCAUGGAGCUCAGCCCUUGAUAGGAGCCGUCAGGGGAGGCUGCCGUGGCAGCCCCUUCACCCCCUCCUGGACGGCUGGGACUGAGACUGCUGCACUUGGCCUGGCGAGCACCAGCCAGAGAAGAGGACGCCCUCCUAGGAAGUGGUGCACACCCUUGCUGAGGCCCAGCAGCUCAACUCCUGGACGGUUACUCAAAAGAAAUGGAGACGUGUCCACUAAAAGAAGUGUCGGGGACGUUGAUUCCAGUCUGCUCAGGAAUGCGGAGGAGCCAGCUGCUGUGUGCCGCUGUGAGGUGGAGCCCGCGUGCAGACCACUGGCUCGCGAGGUUCCAGGACAGACCAGGCUCAGCUGCGAUAGUAGAGAGCGCAGGGCACGUAGAGGGCCAGUGGAGCAGGCUCCGGCUGGAGUGGUGGCCUCCAGCUGCACACGCGUGUCCAGACGCCUGAGCCGGGCGCUCAGGCAUGUGGAGUGUGCCUGAGUUUACAGAGGAAACCAUGGCUUUUUCCCGAUUCUAAAAGAGAGGAGUGUUUCUCGCAGGCAUUGGCAUAUUCAGAACACGGGCACCAUCUGCUUGGUGAGUGCCUGCAGGUGGUCAUGGUGCACCCAGGAAAUGACUCCAGGACCCGAGUGGCUGGGCGCCUGCGACAGUCAGCUUGCCAGGUCCUGGGGACUGCAGCUCUCCACAGCUGCACCGCAGUCGAGCCGGGAGCCACGAUGGGGUGACACGUUUUUCACUCUGGAACUUGAAAUGGUUUUCUGGUGUCGGAAGUCCUAGGGGGAGCUGUCCUGCAGGUCCUGCUCAUCUGUACAAAGAGGGUCUGGUGCUCCUGUCGAGGUUCUAAGCAAAAGCCUGAUGCCGGCACUGUGUAGAAAUGAUCUAAAUGUUCUUCAUCAGAGAGAAACGACCUGCCCGUGUGCUGUAGGGUCCUAACAUUCUGAAGUGCAGGGGUCGACCCAUGUCUCAGG